AGUGAACGCUGGCGGCGUGCCUAAUACAUGCAAGUCGAACGGAGAUUAAGUAGCUUGCUAUUUAAUCUUAGUGGCGCACGGGUGAGUAAUAUAUAGCUAACUUGCCCAUUACUAAGGGACAACAGUUGGAAACGACUGCUAAUACCUUAUACUCCGUAUCUAUAUAAGUAGAUACGGGAAAGUUUUUCGGUAAUGGAUAGGGCUAUAUCGUAUCAGCUAGUUGGUAAGGUAAUGGCUUACCAAGGCUAUGACGCGUAACUGGUCUGAGAGGAUGAUCAGUCACACUGGAACUGAGACACGGUCCAGACUCCUACGGGAGGCAGCAGUAGGGAAUAUCGCUCAAUGGGGGAAACCCUGAAGCAGCAACGCCGCGUGGAGGAUGACACUUUUCGGAGCGUAAACUCCUUUUCUUGGGAAAGAAUUAUGACGGUACCCAAGGAAUAAGCACCGGCUAACUCCGUG
rnacentral:rRNA from 1 species